UUUGAGACACUUACAAGACGAGUAAAUACACAAAAAUACCUGAGACAAAUAUCACAUAACCUCACACAUAUUUACACCAUCAACCCACCAAUACACAUCCAACGCCUGUAAACAUCAGUAAAUCCAUUGACCCCUGUCAUUAUUCACUUCCAUUAUGGUUACCGCCGAGUGAUUAUAUGUUUUCACACGGGCUCGGCGGUUCACACGGGCUCGGUGGCUACCCAAUAUUGACCUCCCUUACCCGCACCCACCCGGAGCAAACCCUAUCUUAGACUUUGCCACAUCAUAUACAACCCUAAACGACUGCUGCUGCCGGUUUCCGAUGAUCGCCGCACUUCCAGAAGAAGCGAAAGCCAAACAAGUAGUACCCCCAUCAACGUCAAUGAACACAUUCUUCGUCUGCAGCUUCAUCACAGCACCACCAUCAAACACCAAGGCAACCUCAGGCACAACCAAACUCUUCACACUCCCUUUGAAGCAUGUAUCUAGUAUCGAGUACGCAUCUGUCUUCUUAAUCUUCACCGCCGUUGUUAUGGCUUUGCUGAGAGCCGUAUAAACGUCGGCUGGUAACCGUGUAAUUACGGUGCCUGAGUCAAUUAUGGUCGGCGUGCCGGUGUAAGCUGAUGGUGCGACUAGGAGGGAUUUACCGGCGAUGGUGAUGGCUGUGAGGCGGAGGAAGUAGAGGGUUGUAUCGAGCGAGCUGGAGACCAUUGGGGUGUAGGUGAGCUUGGAGGGGUCGUAGGGGCCAAUGGAGAGGUAGCCGGAAGAGGCAGUGGUGGGGAGGCAGUAGGUGAAGGAGGAGCCAAGUUUGGGGGAGAGUUGGGAGAGGAGGGAUAGCUUGUUCCUGGCUAGGCCGACGAGGCCGGCUGCUUUGCCGAAGAGACCCUCGUUGUCCUGACCGCAGCCGUAGAUGAAGCCAGGGAGGACAGGGGCACCGGACGAGCCUUUUCCUGCUAAUGAUCCGAGGGAGAGAGUGUCUUUGCCUAGGUAUCCCACUGAGAAGGAACUAUCACCGUAACUGGCUUCAGUCGGCCACACUUAACCCUUCAGCCUGCACCAGCUCUAAUGUCUG
rnacentral:misc_RNA from 1 species